rnacentral:lncRNA from 1 species
UUUAGUUUAGUGGGUUCGAUACUCCUAGGCGUAGUUUUUCUUUCUUUUGAUAUUUUUCUUUCAUAUUUAUGCUUUAUUAUUUAUAUUUCUUUUUUUUAUUAUUGUUUAAUAAUAUAGAUUUGUUUUUUCUUUUAAUUGCAUCAUGUAUUCAAAACCAUUUUUUAACUUAUAAAAAUCAUAUUUUCUCGAUUCAAUGUCGAGCCCAUUUUCCACACCCUUGUAAGUCGAUUGCUUUUUAAGCAUCGCCAUCAACCUCACAUAGCUU